AACGAACGCUGGCGGCAGGCUUAACACAUGCCAGUCGAACGCCCCGCCAGGGGAGUGGCAGACGGGUGAGUACCGCGUGGGAAUCUACCCAUCCCUACGGAAUAACGCAUGGAAACGUGUGCUAAUACCGUAUACGCCCUACGGGGGAAAGAUUUAUCGGGGAUGGAUGAGCCCGCGUUGGAUUAGCUAGUUGGUGGGGUAAAGGCCUACCAAGGCGACGAUCCAUAGCUGGUCUGAGAGGAUGAUCAGCCACAUUGGGACUGAGACACGGCCCAAACUCCUACGGGAGGCAGCAGUGGGGAAUAUUGGACAAUGGGCGCAAGCCUGAUCCAGCCAUGCCGCGUGAGUGAUGAAGGCCUUAGGGUUGUAAAGCUCUUUCACCGGAGAAGAUAAUGACGGUAGCCGGAGAAGAAGCCCCGGCUAACUUCGUG
rnacentral:rRNA from 1 species